UUAUCUUCGACUCAGCAAAUUUACCGCGCGAAGGUUUCGGUAAUUAAACUUUUGCUCCAGUCGAGUGAUAAACAGCAAAGAUCACACAGAUGCGUGACUCAGUCGCAAAGCAAAGGGAAUGAGUUGUAUCUUGAGCUUAGUAUUUCGGCCCGAUCCACCAGGUCAGACACCUCUCUCAAGCGAAGGGCUGAUAAACUGACAGAUGAGAAAUACUUAAAGAACAAUCAUUAACUCAAUUCUCUUUACCUGGUUCUGAGUGUAGUUGCCGCUUUCGCAAUCUCGAUUUUUCUAAGUCCAGAGCUAGAAACCUUUCUUAGGCGAAGGUCUAGUGAUUCUGGAGGGAAUCUUCGAGUUACCAAAGUGACACUAGGACUUUCUUUCUGAAGUGAAACGGUCGACCUUAGGGAGCACACUAACUUUAUUUCUAACUAUGAGCUUAUAUUUAUACGGACAAACUUAACUGACAAAUGUACCUGAGAAGAAAUGAAUCAUAUUUUUGUUUUGGUUACUUCUUAACGAAGCUGCCUGCACAUGCUAAUUUUACCUAGUCCUAUUUCCUUUUGUCCUUUCUCUCUACCCAAAGGCUUCAGAUAACGUUGCUUAUCUGCCGUUAUGCGUACCGCUGCCUGAAAAGGUUUUGCUUUUAUUAUUUUAUGACUGCUUUCCAGAUUGUUCUGGCGACCUGUCUGGGUUCCAUUUAUGGUAGUAGUAGAAAUUUGGACAAAUUAUACGAUACACUUCGGUUUCGUUAAUUGAUGAUUGAAAUUAAUAAUAUCGCGUGGCAACACCGACUCCCGUAAAUCCACUAGAUUUACUAAAUUUGUAUGCGAUAUUCCUAUUAUUUUUGCAUUAUUUGAUGAUUACAUACAGUGAAUGCUUAAGUUCGUACUGAUCAUUUUCUUAUUUGCUAUAUGUAUAUUUUAUUUAAGUUUCUCGUUUGAAAUUAUGUAUUACAUAUUAAUCAUACUACACUAUGCGGUUGUCAGAUGUUUUUGUAUGUGGAAAACUUGGUCUUCCUUGUUCAAUAUCUAAAGGUAUAUUAUCUGUAUUUGAAAUACUUCUGAUUUGUUGUGCCUGUUUCUUAUUAUUCUUGUGCGAUAGAAGAUUUGUUAUUGAAUCCCAGAAAGAUGCUAUCAAUUUCCAACUGAAUCCAUAGAUAUCGUAUAGUAUUUUUCCAUGUACCAAAGUAUCUAUAACAAAUUUUAUUGCUCGUAAAAUGAGAUAUAAUCCGAUGCCAGUUGAAGUUAGAUUUCCCAACCAAUUUGACCAAGAUAUUAAACGUUUCCAAUAUUUACUUACUACAUUGUCUAUUAUACGUUCAGAUAUUAAAGCUUCAAAUUUAAACCCUUGUAAAUUUGGAUGACGCCCAGUUAAAACUUGAUAAACAACAGACGAAGCGACUCGCUUUCCGUCUUGCUCGUAAAUAAGAUUUCUCAUCUUUUGUAGACUAUCUGAAUCGUAAACACCACUUUGCAUUAGAUUUGGCAAUGAAGUAUAUGACCAAUUUGUUACAAUAUCGGAUGAUAUCUUGUUCGGAGCGGUUGUUUCCCUAAAACGUCCAUCGGUCGUGUACCACCUAUUUCCGAACAUAAAUUUGGCUGGUAAUAAUGGUGUACAGUCUAUUUCGGUACCACGUACACUGAAAUAAAUUUCAUGGUACAUCGAACCAUUCAACCAUUAUUAAUAUUACCAUGCCUAAAAAUAGUAACAGUGAGCAUGUUUUCAGUGAUGACUACUAUGGUUUCCUUACAAUUACCAUGGUUUGACAACCAUGCCAAUAGUAAUGAAUACUAUUUAAUAUGGUUGUCUGGAGUGCGUUUUCGUCGUUGUCUGAACCAUGUUCAUGUUUACCUACAACUAUUCUCAUGUUCAGUUAUACCACGUUAUACUGUUUCCAUGAGUUAUCGACUUCGGUGAUAUCACCGUCAUUCUUCCAACAAAUUAUUUGCGACGUAGUUUCAUGAGAAUUUGCUAUGGAGAUAAAUUUUGUUUUAUAAAACUGGGGCAACUCGACCAAUGAUGUACCCACUAACUAUUCUGUCUAACAGGCCACCGGCUCGGCCAUCGGAUUUAGAAUUCGAGACCUUCAUCAAGGCGAACAUAGAUGAAAAGUUUCGGGAAUAGGCUAAUGGAAGCGAAAAGUAAGACACGAUUUUUUGAAAUUAUAACACAUCCUCCACCACGUAUUCCAUCAUCCACAGGCUAUUUCACAGGUUGUAAAAAUCAUUAACGUUACCGAAUGACCCGGAGUAACUGCUACAGGCCAAAGAACAACCUGAAUCAUCUCGAAAUGUGUAAAAUUGAUACAUUGAAGCAGAAAAAUCCGCCCUGUGGAUGACUUCCGAUCCGCGGAUGGACGGUGGCUAUUUCCCGGAUUCUUUCUCUAUCAAUUCCUCCGCCGCUGGUUAAUACAGUCAUGCCUUGGUCACCCGAAACCUAUUAACUAAAUCGCACGAAGUCACUGACUGGAACGAAUUCCUUCGUCACUACAUCCUUCCAGUCGCAUUCAGUAGCUAAAAUUCUUGGACAUCCCGCAGAAACUAAAACAUGAUUCAUCAGUUCCGGAAAUGCAUGUAUCGUCGGAAGAGAAACGAAUUUCAUCGUGAAAGUGGCCAAAAGGAAGCUUGCCUCAGGCGCCCCUGGAGGACAUCCAUAUUAUAGUAAAAAGUGUAUCUUAUAUUUACUUCACUUUACAGAGAGAAACAGCAAUAAAUCCAAUCGAUUUCAUA